AGUGGGGAAUAUUGCACAAUGGGGGAAACCCUGAUGCAGCAACGCCGCGUGAGUGAUGAAGGUUUUCGGAUCGUAAAGCUCUGUCUUUGGGGAAGAUAAUGACGGUACCCAAGGAGGAAGCCACGGCUAACUACGUGCCAGCAGCCGCGGUAAUACGUAGGUGGCGAGCGUUAUCCGGAUUUACUGGGCGUAAAGGGAGCGUAGGCGGAUGAUUAAGUGGGAUGUGAAAUACCCGGGCUCAACUUGGGUGCUGCAUUCCAAACUGGUUAUCUAGAGUGCAGGAGAGGAGAGUGGAAUUCCUAGUGUAGCGGUGAAAUGCGUAGAGAUUAGGAAGAACACCAGUGGCGAAGGCGACUCUCUGGACUGUAACUGACGCUGAGGCUCGAAAGCGUGGGGAGCAAACAGGAUUAGAUACCCUGGUAGUCCACGCCGUAAACG
rnacentral:rRNA from 1 species